rnacentral:rRNA from 1 species
AGAGUUUGAUCCUGGCUCAGAGUGAACGCUGGCGGCGUGCCUAACACAUGCAAGUCGAACGAUGAUAGGAAGCUUGCUUCCUUGAUUAGUGGCGCACGGGUGAGUAUACCAUAGAUAAUGUACCUCUUAGUUCGGGAUAGCCACUGGAAACGGUGAUUAAUACCGGAUACUCCUUCUCGUUAUAAGGCGAGUCGGGAAAGUUUUUUCGCUAAGAGAUCAGUCUAUGUCCUAUCAGCUAGUUGGUGAGGUAAUGGCUCACCAAGGCUAUGACGGGUAUCUGGUUUGAGAGGAUGAUCAGACACACUGGAACUGAGACACGGUCCAGACUCCUACGGGAGGCAGCAGUGGGGAAUAUUGCACAAUGGAGGAAACUCUGAUGCAGCAACGCCGCGUGGAGGAUGACGCAUUUCGGUGUGUAAACUCCUUUUAAGAGGGAAGAUAAUGACGGUACCUCUUGAAUAAGCACCGGCUAACUCCGUGCCAGCAGCCGCGGU